GUUUAUUUUAGGUUUGUUUACCUCUCAAUCGUCAACGUGUAUAUAUCGGAAUCCGGAACCAGUUGUCGUAAAUACUGUCGUAAAGGUCCUAACGUCAAACAUAACCAGGAACUUCACCGCCCGGUUUGUUUUCAUCCUUUGAAAUGGCCUCAGCUCCAACACCACAACUGACCCUUACUGUUGAGCAGGCCAGAGUGGUGCUUAGUGAGGUCAUCCAGGCCUUCUCUGUACCAGAAAACGUUGCACGGAUGGAGGAGGCCAGGGAAAGUGCCUGCAAUGACAUGGGGAAGAUGCUGCAGCUUGUCCUUCCUGUAGCCACACAGAUUCAACAAGAGGUUAUCAAAGCCUAUGGCUUCAACAAUGAGGGAGAGGGUGUACUGAAAUUUGCCAGAUUAGUAAAGAUGUACGAAACUCAGGACCCAGAGAUUGCUGCCAUGUCGGCGAAACUGAAGUCCCUCCUGUUACCGCCCCUGUCCACACCACCGAUUGGAGGGGCCAUACCAGCCUCAUGAGGAAUGGAAUGUCAGAAUGGAAGCUUGUAACAUUCAUAAACUGCCAACUGGCCAUUUGAUUGCCCUUAUCCAUUGUUUCAGUCGUUCCAGAAGCCUGCCUGCACUACAUCCCAAUUUCAUUGUUUAAAUCCAUGUUAUGCCGGAUUCGUUGACACGCCCCUUCCCCGUUUAACGUGUACAAAUACAAAGUAUAAAAAGGGCAAAAUUCAGUCGCACUCAAAUUUUGGUCGCAAAAGGCGACCAUUUGGUUGCAGUCUGGAGCCCUGGGAUCAAUUGUUAUGUCAUUCACAAUAACCCACUUAAAUGCCACCAUUUUAUAGUGUGUCAGAUAUUGACAAAUGCCUUUAUGUAUUAAAAUUGUAUAAGAUAA